rnacentral:rRNA from 1 species
AUUGAACGCUGGUGGCAUGCCUUACACAUGCAAGUCGAACGGUAACAGGUCUUCGGAUGCUGACGAGUGGCGAACGGGUGAGUAAUACAUCGGAACGUGCCCGAGAGUGGGGGAUAACGAAGCGAAAGCUUUGCUAAUACCGCAUACGAUCUCAGGAUGAAAGAAGGGGACCGCAAGGCCUUGCGCUAACGGAGCGGCCGAUGGCAGAUUAGGUAGUUGGUGGGAUAAAAGCUUACCAAGCCGACGAUCUGUAGCUGGUCUGAGAGGACGACCAGCCAGCCUGGGACGGAGACACGGCCCAGACUCCUACGGGAGGCAGCAGUGGGGAAUUUUGGACAAUGGGCGCAAGCCUGAUCCAGCCAUGCCGCGUGCAGGAUGAAGGCCUUCGGGUUGUAAACUGCUUUUGUACGGAACGAAAAGACUCCUUCUAAUAAGGGGGUCCAUGACGGUACCGUAAGAAUAAGCACCGGCUAACUACGUGCCAGCAGCCGCGGUAAGAC